CUGCCUAUUCUCUUCCACAGUGGAAAUCAACUCUUUGUGUGAAGGGGAUCAUCUACAGGGGGUGGUUUAGUGGACAGAUCCACAAACUCUCAUAUGUCAUGGUUAGAGACCCAUACCAGAAUCAGUCCAGAGGUCCAUAGACCUUCCGAAUUUUCAGGAGAUGUGGUUGGGAUCUAAACCUGGUGCCUGUGAUAAUUUGUGCUCUGCUUUUUUCCGUGUACUUUUUUUCUCAACUGCCCUUUUUCUGUUUUUCUUUUCUAUAUGUUGCUUUUCUAUCUGUUGUUUCUAUCUGUUGCUUCUAUCUGUUGCUCUGAGCUAAUCUUGUAAGACCAAAAAGGAGAAAUCUGCCCUGGUGAAGAAAAAAAAACAAACCACCCAAACCCAAAGCAGGCUAAAAUGUGUGACUCUCCUCAGGAAACUCUUACAGUGAAGAUUGGCACACUCUUUUCACAUCCACAUUGUGAAACUAAAUCCAUGCUUUCUCCUAGUAUUUGUUCAACCCCAAAAAGGAAGAGGAAAUCAGUACUGGGGAAUCCAUACUUUCAUUUAGUGGUAGUGUAAAGGAAGGUCCUGUAAAGCAGCACGUAAUUUGAAGAAACUAGAUGGAAGUAAUGCAGCAAGUUUUCUUGGGGGAGGUGCUAAGAGUCUCUCCUUCCCCUAAUCUGAGCACCCCUGUGGCUCUUGUUUUGUGCUGUACAGGAGGAGGAGGGAGAGGCUGCUCUAAGGGAGGACAUGGUGAGAAUGAUAAUGAGCCUGCUCAGUCAGACUUGAAUUUGAGAUGAUUGCAAUGAUGACAUCAGAAGCAGAAGGUUCCCACAUUCCCAAAAAAUGUCUGUAAGAUCUACAUACGUGCUCUAGCUGUAUGACUGAGAAACUGUGACAAAUCAGUUGUGGUCUAUCAGAAAAUUCUUAAGAUACCCUUGAGAAUUUCUCUUCUUGACCUUGACAAAGCUGGAAGAACUCUCUUUAGCACAGAGGAUCCCAUUUAUUGAAGAAUGUGCAUGGAAAAUACAUUGCCAGGCUAGCUCCCUUAUUGCAUUCUAAAUCACAAGGUAUUAAAAGCCAUAGUUUUUAAGAUAUGGAUCAUCUCCUCCGAAGUUUUUUUCCCAGUGGAGCCCUAGCUUUACAACAAUCCACAACUACUGCUGCCAUACAGA